GACUGUGACUAAGUGUGCAGCUUCAUGCGUUCUCCUCAUGGGCUAAAUUGAACUCUGUCUCUUCAUGAUUCCUUGCUUCUUGUCUGAUUAAUAGAUGUCAUCAGUGUUUGAACCUGACAUCUUAUUGGUCCUUCGUGCCAGAUUCCAACAAGUCUUGACGAUUCUAGCCGGGUGAGUAAAAUCAGAAGACCAUGGCACCCACAUCUCCCAUUGUGGAGCUGAUUUUCUUCACCUCGGCUGGGAUCUGACUGACGGGAAACCGAGGACAAGAGGAAGGAACGCAAAUUUCAGCUUUCCGGUGCCGGCGUUCCCAGCAGCCUCGGCCUUCCCUCGAUCGACACUCGCCUUACUCACCGCAGGCCGGACUGACUUCUUCAUACUGAGCUAUCUGCUGUCGAUACAUUUACAGCUCUGUCUGCACACAGGAGGGACAAAACAGUGUGGGGGCAGAUUGUUUCAUGUGCGACGGAAGCCUGCUGUCGACGGCUCAGCGGUUUUUCAAGCCCGAAGCGGAGAGAAGACAGGCAGCAUCAGUUCGGGACGUCAGCUCGCCCUCGAUGAUCCUCUGCACCCUCUUCUGUGCCUGGUUUUGGGGGUUCCGGGGCGGAGUCACCUGCACACACACCUGAUACCCAUUUCCUCUUGACUGCCCUUUUUCUUCCCACCGGCACAUUCGCCGAGCUCAUCAGGCGUGGCGGGAUAAAAGAGCAGCUAUGUCCCAGGAUCGUAGGCUGGCGGACCGCCACGGGAUACCAGCCCCCACCUCGCAACCUGGACAAGAGGGUGAUGGCGCCGCCUGGUGGCAGAACUCUGCAGCGUAUUCAAGGAAGUCUUUUCCUCCCCACGCCGCUAUACUUCCGUGGAGAAGAGGAGGCUUUGUCGUUUGCUGUCGGGUGUGGGAAUGUUCUCUAGCUGCAGAAAAUAGAGGAGAACUUGCACCUGCAACAAGAGAAAGAAGUGAGGACGCGUCCGCCGGCGGGUCGAGGGCGAGAUGAGGUACCUGAGCCAUGACCUCCAGGGACCAGCUGUCGUUCAUGGAGAUGGGCUGGGAGAUGUUCAUGCUGACCUUGCUGUCUUUCUCUGAAGGCCGCAGCAGAGUGGGACCAAAGACCGUGGCCAGGUUGUGUAGAGACAUCUUGUUGACACACUCCUUUUCAGACACUCUGUUACAGGGGGAACAUGCAUUAUGUUAAAGGGUUGGUAUGGACUAGACUCUCACUAUUAUGUUAGAUCCACUAUGGACUGGACUCUCACUAUUAUGUUAGAUCCACUAUGGACUGGACUCUCACUAUUAUGUUAGAUCCACUAUGGACUGGACUCUCUCACUAUUAUGUUAGAUCCACUAUGGACUGGACUCUCACUAUUAUGUUGGAUCCACUAUGGACUGGACUCUCUCACUAUUAUGUUAGAUCCACUAUGGACUGGACUCUCUCACUAUUAUGUUAGAUCCACUAUGGACUGGACUCUCUCACUAUUAUGUUAGAUCCACUAUGGACUGGACUCUCACUAUUAUGUUAGAUCCACUAUGGACUGGACUCUCACUAUUAUGUUAGAUCCACUAUGGACUGGACUCUCUCACUAUUAUGUUAGAUCCACUAUGGACUGGACUCUCACUAUUAUGUUGGAUCCACUAUGGACUGGACUCUCUCACUAUUAUGUUAGAUCCACUAUGGACUGGACUCUCUCACUAUUAUGUUAGAUCCACUAUGGACUGGACUCUCUCACUAUUAUGUUAGAUCCACUAUGGACUGGACUUUCACAAUAUUAUGUUAGAUCCACUAU